rnacentral:tRNA from 1 species
AUCAGAGUGGCAGAUUUAUGCGGUAGCUUUAAAGACUACAGAAGGCUAAGCCCUCCGGUA